rnacentral:rRNA from 1 species
AUUGAACGCUGGCGGCAUGCUUUACACAUGCAAGUCGAACGGCAGCGCGGGCUUCGGCCUGGCGGCGAGUGGCGAACGGGUGAGUAAUACAUCGGAACGUGCCCAGUAGUGGGGGAUAGCGCGGCGAAAGCCGGAUUAAUACCGCAUACGACCUGAGGGUGAAAGCGGGGGAUCUUCGGACCUCGCGCUAUUGGAGCGUCCGAUGGCGGAUUAGCUAGUUGGUGGGGUAAAGGCCUACCAAGGCGACGAUCGGUAGCUGGUCUGAGAGGACGACCGGCCACACUGGAACUGAGACACGGCCCAGACUCCUACGGGAGGCAGCAGUGGGGAAUUUUGGACAAUGGGCGAAAGCCUGAUCCAGCCAUACCGCGUGGGUGAAGAAGGCCUUCGGGUUGUAAAGCCCUUUUGGGGGGAAAGAAAAGCAGCAGGUUAAUACCCCGCUGUUCUGACGGUACCCAAAGAAUAAGCACCGGCUAACUUCGUG